rnacentral:ribozyme from 1 species
AAAUCAAAAACAAAAAGUGAAAAAUAUGCAACGCAAUCGAUACAUGUAAACAAUAUAUUUUUUUCGUCUUGUUCCUAGGUCGUUUGUUUUUUGCUUUCGUUGCUUUCUGCUUGGUUGCGUACUGUUUUAUGUCACGAAAGAAGAGGAUGAAAAGAGAGAGGGGAAGCAACAAAGGAGGAGAGA